GAUGAAGAACGUAGCGAAAUGCGAUAAGUAAUGUGAAUUGCAGAAUUCAGUGAAUCAUCGAAUCUUUGAACGCACCUUGCGCUCCUUGGUAUUCCGAGGAGCAUGCCUGUUUGAGUGUCAUUAAAUUCUCAACUAUUAUCAGCUUUAGCUGAUAAUGGCUUAGAUAUGGGGGUUUAUUUUGCUGGCUUCUUCACAGAUUGUCAGCUCCCCUUAAAUGCAUUAGCCGGUGCCCCGCGUGGACUGUCUAUUGGUGUGAUAAUUAUCUACGCCGUGGACAUCUACAAUCAUAUGGGUUUGCACUGCUUCCAACCGUCUGUUUAUUCAGACAAUACAUGACAAUUUGACCUCAAAUCAGGUAGGACUACCCGCUGAACUUAAGCAUAUCAAUAAGCGGAGGA
rnacentral:misc_RNA from 1 species